GAUGAAGAACGCAGCGAAAUGCGAUAAGUAAUGUGAAUUGCAGAAUUCAGUGAAUCAUCGAAUCUUUGAACGCACAUUGCGCCCGCCAGCAUUCUGGCGGGCAUGCCUGUUCGAGCGUCAUUUCAACCCUCGCAGCCCAUCUGGGCAGCGGUGUUGGGGACCGGCACCACCGGCGAAGCCCUUAGGGGCCCAGCCGGCGCCGCCCCCGAAAUACAGUGGCGGUCUCGCUGCAGCCUCCCUUGCGUAGUAGCACACCUCGCACCGGAGCGCAGCGCGGCCACGCCGUAAAACCCCCGACCUUCUGAGUUUGACCUCGAAUCAGGUAGGAAUACCCGCUGAACUUAAGCAUAUCAAUAAGCGGAGGA
rnacentral:misc_RNA from 1 species